CCUACGGGAGGCAGCAGUAGGGAAUAUUGCUCAAUGGGGGAAACCCUGAAGCAGCAACGCCGCGUGGAGGAUGAAGGUUUUCGGAUUGUAAACUCCUUUUGUUCGGGAAGAUUAUGACGGUAUCUAACGAAUAAGCACCGGCUAACUCCGUCCCAGCAGCCGCGGUAAUACGGAGGGUGCAAGCGUUACUCGGAAUUACUGGGCGUAAAGAGUGCGGAGGCGGGGUAAUAAGUCAGAUGUGAAAUCCUGUAGCUUAACUACAGAACUGCAUUUGAAACUGGUCCGCUGGAGUGUGGGAGAGGUAGGUGGAAUUCUUGGUGUAGGGGUAAAAUGCGUAGAGAUCAAGAGGAAUACUCAUUGCGAAGGCGACCUGCUGGAACAUUACUGACGCUGAUGCACGAAAGCGUGGGGAGCAAACAGGAUUAGAUACCCCUGUAGUC
rnacentral:rRNA from 1 species